CCACACAAGGCAGCCAUGGGUGGCUGUGGUGCAGCCGUGACCAGCACGGAAGCCAGAUUGCAUAGCGGAAAGGACACGAUGGGAUUCAAUAUGGUUGGU